AUUUGGCGCGAAACUUUAAGAUUUGUGUUUGUUGACAGUUGGCAGGAUUAUCUGCUGAUGACAUGAUCGCUGUGACUAAUAUGCGCUGCUUAUGCACUGACACAAAAAAGUCCUCAGGAGGAGGUUUUACACUGAAAUUUGAUGUUCAGAAGAAAAAACAUGCACAUAGAAAAGAGCGAACGACGGAACAAUCAGCAUGGGCACUGUCCCGAUUUUAUCCGGUUCUGGAGUGUGGGUAUUACGCCGAAGCCUUGGACCCCUGCGGUGCGGCUCCAGCCAGGGAGGGGUUGUCGCACAGCAUAGGCAAGGGAAGAAUUAUCAGAUGGGAGAUAAUUUGAUUCUUUGUUGCUAGCCUGAUCUGACUAGGAGGUGGGCACUAUAAAGUGCAUACAGAAGACUUGAGGCCUAAGGCUAGGAUCCUAGCAAACGUGGAAAGGACUAUACAAACUAGGAAACAAUUUCUAGAGAUAAGACCCUACCAAACUUCAAGAUGCAGAUUUGUUUCCUAAUGUGAUCUGCUACCGGUUGCACCAGCUAAGCCCACACGUGACAGCUGGUUUCACCCCAAUCUGCUAAGCUAUCUCUGACAACUGCAGCAACAGCAACAACAACUUUAGUCGCAAACAAGUUGGGGUAGGCUAGAGCUGAAACUCGUAAGAUCUCGAAACUGACUCAUGGUUCUGGCAUGGUGGAUAGCUAACUUCCAUGCACCCCUGUCCAUGGCUAGUUCUUUAGUGAUAUUCCAGACCUUCAGAUCUUUCUUUAUGGACUCCUCCCAUGUAAGUUUGGUCUACCUUGCCCUCUCUUGACAUUAUCAGCAUGCAUUAGCAGUCCGCUAUGCACUGGAGCUUCUGGAGGCCUGCGCUGAAUAUGGCCGAACCAUCUCAGACGAUGUUGGACAAGUUUCUCUUCAAUCGGUGCUACCCCAACUCUAUCACAUAUAUCAUCAUUUCGGACCCGAUUCUUUCUUUUGUGGCCGCACAUCCAUCUCAACAUGCGCAUCUCCGCUACACCUAACCGGUGAAUAUGUCGCCUUUUCAUCGGCCAACGCUCAGCCAUACAAUAUUGCGGGUCAAAUCGUCGUCCGGUAGAACCUACCUUUUAGCUUUUGUGGCACUCUCUUGUCACGGAGAACGCCAGAAGCUUGACGCCACUUCAUCCAUCUGGUUUUGAUACAAUGGCUCACAUCCUCAUCGAUAUCACCAUCCUUCUGCAACAUUGACCUCAAAUGUCGAAAGGUGUCCUGCUGAGGUAUCACCUGCCCAUCAAGGCUAACCUCCUCAUGCUUAGUAGUACUGAAACCGCACCUCAUGUACUCCGUUUUAGUUUUAUCAAGUCUAAAACCAUUUGAUUCCAUGGUUUGUCUCCAUAGCUCUUAACUUUCUAUUAACCCCCGCCCAACUAUCAUCGACUAGCACCACAUCAUCCGCAAAGAGCAUACACCACGGGAUAUCUCCUUGUAUAUCCCAUGUGACCUCAUCCCUCACCAAAGCAAAAGGUUAAGGGCUCAAAGCGGAUCCUUGGUGCAGUCCUAUUUUAAUCGGGAAGUCGUCAGUUUCGCCAUCAUUUGUUCGAACACUUGUCACAACAUUAUCGUACAUGUCCUUGAUGAGGGUAAUGUACUUUGUUGGGACUUUGUGUUUCUUCAAGCCCCACCACAUGCCAUUCCGCGGUAUUUUAUAGUAGGGACUUUGUUGGGACUUUGUUUUGGCAGGCAGGUCAAGUGCCGGCAUUGCGUGCACCGGCAUUGCUGUCAAGGUGGUUUUUGCCAACACCAAUCUGCCACUCCGGUGUAGUAGAGAGGCUCGCCAACUUGGUAACUUGUCGGCCACCCUAUCCACCAAAUGCUGCAGUUGAGCUGGGGACGGUUUGGGUAGCCCAAGUGGCAGGCCAAGGUAUGUGCAUGGGAAUGGGAGGGUUUGGCAUUUGAGCUCCUCCGGAACUAUAUCCAUCUGCUUCGGACUGCAUCUGAUGAGAUGUGCAGAGCACUUCGCUAGGUUUGUGCAAAAGCCGGAUGCCUUCCCAAAGUCGUCUAUCAUUCUGACACAGGCUCUCAGCCCCUCUGUGUCUGGCACCACAAUGUCAUGACGUCGUCCGCAUAUAUGGACAUACGGUGGUGAAGUCCCACAGUGGCUAGGGGAGGCAGAAUACCCUGCUCAGCAGCAGCCCGCAGCAUGAAGUGUAACCCGUCCAUCAGUAGGACAAAUAGCGGCGGGGAUAGGAGAUCCCCCUGCCGCAACCCCUUCCGGUUGUAGAUCACCUCGCCGGGUAUGCCAUUCACCAGCGCGCGAGUAGAUGAGGUGGAUAGCAGCCCAGGAUCCAAGCUCGCCAACGAUGGCCAAAACCAAGCUUGUGCAGAACCUCAAGUAAGAAGGCCCAAUCCAGAGUAUCGAAAGCCAUCGUAAUGUCCAGCUUUAGCAUCACUGCUGCUUUCUUGGAGCUCUGCAGUUUUGGGGCCAUCCCUUGCACCAUCAUGUAAUUAUCAUGUAAGCAUCUGCCACGAUGAAUGCACUUUGAUGUGAUCCAACAAGUGUGGUCAUCUUGGAGCCAUCCUAGUGGCAAGCACCUUGGCCACUAGCUCCGGGAAACUAUGUAUGAGACUUAUCGGCCGGUAGUCUCUGAUCUCCACGGCCUCUCCACGCCUAUCCGGGCUGGAACCCAACAAGUUGAAGAACUCGUCCAUCGCAUCUGCCUUAUCCUCAUGAUCCGAGACCAGAGUGCCCUCCACAUUUAACGAUGUGAUGGACCUCCUCCUCCUAUGACUCGCUUGGGCAUGGAAAAAUUGUGUGCAUGCGUCACCUUCCUUGAGCCACGUGAUCCUUGAUCUUUGCCUCACCAUCGUCCUCUCAAGUGAGGCCAACCCGAGUAGUUUCUUCUUGAGCAGCCGCCUAAGCGCUUGUUCCUCUACCGAUAGCUCUCUGGAUUCCAUAGCCACGUCCAAUCUCUGGAUAACCUCGUUGGCAAUGAGGAUUUGUAGCUUAAUGUUGCCGACAAAAUGAUCACUCCAGCUUGCCAGCUUGCAACUGUAGCCUUGAGCUUAGCCGCCAGCCUCUUGAAAGGGUUUUGCUCCGGAGUGACUGGGUUCCAUGCUUGCUGGACCACCUCAUGGAAGCCAUCAAUUCUCGUCCAGAAACUCUCAAUAUGAAACCGUGUCCGCCUUCUGUGAUCUGGGUCCAAGCUGAGGAGCAAAGGGCAAUGGUCAGAGACACUAGUGCUCAACGCCGUGGGGAAAGAUGAUGGGUAUAAUGGCUCCCACUCCCAGAGGCGAGGCAUCGAUCCAACUUCUCCAAGGUUGGCUGGCGACAUUCGUUAGACCAUGUAUAUCUGCGACCAUUAAGAUAAAAGUCGCACAACUCCAAGUCCGAGAUCGGGACGCUUCACUAAAAUCUAGAUCAGGCCACCCCGUUGACUUCUGCUGGCUGCUGCUCCUGGGCGCGAUGCUUCGCACGUUCGCCCCUACCCAACUCGCCUGCCGGCCCUGCAGGUCCACGGCUGCUGGAUUCCGCUGGACUGCUGCCUCUUGUUUGCCUGCGGGUCUUGCGCUGCCCACCUACCUAGCUUCCCACCGUCGUCUACCCCACCAGGCAGACCAAAUCGAGGUUGCCUCGUUUAGCUCAGGGCCGAUGCUACCUCCACCUCCCUGGCCAGGACGUAUGUCGCUGCUCCAUUCGCGUGUGCUCCUGGCCGUUAUGAUAGUCUUCAGAGUCA